AUGGACAGAAAGGUGUGCAUCUUCCUAGUAAUCCUCGUGCUAGCUGUGCUCGCUGGCCCGGGCGCGAAGGCGGCGGCGCUCGACAGUGGCACUGGCCGCAUCGACGCGGGUGCGGCGGUGCGACAACUGAUGUCGGCGUCGCAUUCGUCGUCCAUGAAGCUGGACGACGGAGUGGUGCCGGAGCUCGCGGUGGCGUCGGUGGUGGACCUGGAGGUGCACCGCCGCAUCCUCGCCGGCGCACCGGUCAGCCCGGGAGCCCUGAAUCCCAACAAGGGAGUCUGCACCAGGAGUGGUGGGUGCGGGGGGAAGGGAAAUCCGUACACUGGCCGGGGAUGCAACCCAUAUAACUUCUGCCCGCCAAAGUGA
rnacentral:rRNA from 1 species